rnacentral:rRNA from 1 species
CUUAUACAUGCGUCNCGAACGNNNAANCUCCUUCGGGAGGGGAUUAAUGGCGAACGGGUGAGUAACACGUGGGCAAUCUGCCCUUCACUCUGGGACAAGCCCUGGAAACGGGGUCUAAUACCGGAUACGACACGGGGUCGCAUGACCUCCGUGUGGAAAGCUCCGGCGGUGNAGGGAUGAGCCCGCGGCCUAUCAGCUUGUUGGUGGGGUGAUGGCCUACCAAGGCGACGACGGGUAGCCGGCCUGAGAGGGCGACCGGCCACACUGGGACUGAGACACGGCCCAGACUCCUACGGGAGGCAGCAGUGGGGAAUAUUGCACAAUGGGCGAAAGCCUGAUGCAGCGACGCCGCGUGAGGGAUGACGGCCUUCGGGUUGUAAACCUCUUUCAGCAGGGAAGAAGCGAGAGUGACGGUACCUGCAGAAGAAGCGCCGGCUAACUACGUGCCAGCAGCCGCGGUAAUACGUAGGGCGCAAGCGUUGUCCGGAAUUAUUGGGCGUAAAGAGCUCGUAGGCGGCUUGUCACGUCGGAUGUGAAAGCCCGGGGCUUAACCCCGGGUCUGCAUU